rnacentral:pre_miRNA from 1 species
CGGCGCGGCCAGCCUGGCCACUGGCGGGGCUGGGCCUCGCCAGAUCUGGCGAGGCCGAGCCUCGCCGGUGGCUGGGCUUGCCUCCGGC